UGAGGAAUAUUGGUCAAUGGGCGAGAGCCUGAACCAGCCAAGUCGCGUGAGGGAUGACUGCCCUAUGGGUUGUAAACCUCUUUUGUAUUGGGGGAAUAAGCUUUACGAGUAGAGUGAUGACAGUACCAUACGAAUAAGCAUCGGCUAACUCCGUGCCAGCAGCCGCGGUAAUACGGAGGAUGCGAGCGUUAUCCGGAUUUAUUGGGUUUAAAGGGUGCGUAGGCGGCAUUAUAAGUUAGUGGUAAAAUAUUGGGGCUUCACCUCACUACGCCAUUAAUACUGUAGAGCUAGAGAACAGACGAGGUAGGCGGAAUAAGUUAAGUAGCGGUGAAAUGCAUAGAUAUAACUUAGAACACCGAUAGCGAAGGCAGCUUACCAGACUGAGUCUGACGCUGAUGCAAGAGAGCAAGGGUAGCGAACAGG
rnacentral:rRNA from 1 species